CCUACGGGAGGCAGCAGUGGGGAAUAUUGGACAAUGGGGGGAACCCUGAUCCAGCCAUGCCGCGUGUGUGAAGAAGGCCCUCGGGUUGUAAAGCACUUUCAGUGAGGAAGAACGCCUGGUGGUUAAUACCCAUCAGGAAAGACAUCACUCACAGAAGAAGCAUCGGCUAACUCCGUGCCAGCAGCCGCGGUAAUACGGAGGGUGCGAGCGUUAAUCGGAAUUACUGGGCGUAAAGCGCGCGUAGGUGGCUUGAUAAGCCGGUUGUGAAAGCCCCGGGCUCAACCUGGGAACGGCAUCCGGAACUGUCAAGCUAGAGUGCAGGAGAGGAAGGUAGAAUUCCCGGUGUAGCGGUGAAAUGCGUAGAGAUCGGGAGGAAUACCAGUGGCGAAGGCGGCCUUCUGGACUGACACUGACACUGAGGUGCGAAAGCGUGGGUAGCAAACAGGAUUAGAUACCCUUGUAGUC
rnacentral:rRNA from 1 species